GACGAACGCUGGCGGCGUGCUUAACACAUGCAAGUCGAACGGAAAGGCCCUGCUUUUGUGGGGUGCUCGAGUGGCGAACGGGUGAGUAACACGUGAGUAACCUGCCCUUGACUUUGGGAUAACUUCAGGAAACUGGGGCUAAUACCGGAUAGGAGCUCCUGCUGCAUGGUGGGGGUUGGAAAGUUUCGGCGGUUGUGGAUGGACUCGCGGCUUAUCAGCUUGUUGGUGGGGUAGUGGCUUACCAAGGCUUUGACGGGUAGCCGGCCUGAGAGGGUGACCGGGCACAUUGGGACUGAGAUACGGCGCAGACUCCUACGGGAGGCAGCAGUGGGGAAUAUUGCACAAUGGGCGGAAGCCUGAUGCAGCAACGCCGCGUGCGGGAUGACGGCCUUCGGGUUGUAAACCGCUUUCGCCUGUGACGAAGCGUGAGUGACGGUAAUGGGUAAAGAAGCACCGGCUAACUACGUG
rnacentral:rRNA from 1 species